rnacentral:tRNA from 1 species
GGCCUGUUAGCUCAGUUGGUUAGAGCGCCGUGCUAAUAACGUGGAGGUCAUGAGUUCGAUCCUCUUACAGGCCA